rnacentral:lncRNA from 1 species
AAAAUCUCGUAACUUCUAAGUGAACCAGGCAGUUUCCAAAACCUGCCUUUUAGCUAUUAAGCUAUAAAUAUUUGAAAAAAGUAUUUACAUUGACAAAUAACUAUGAAGUUUUUAGAACUUAUGAAGAUCAUGAUGAAGAAAAAACUAUUUGUAAUAUUAUCAAAUUGCUUAUUCCUUUCUGAAGUCAUUUAUUCAAUAUCAUUUAUUUGCAGAUAAUAGGUACCAGGCAUUGAGAAAUUCAGAAUAAAUAAGAAAAUGGAAUAAACAAAGGGUUAUAAAAAAAUCUAGGAUGGGUUAUUCAUUUUAAAAGAGAAUGGGGCUUAGGUGAAAAAAAGCAAAAAUAUACACAAGGACUUGAACAUUCUAACAUAAUGAGCAAGUCAUACCCUGCCAGAUGCACGAGAGUGGAUGACAGGAUGUGCUGGAAAGGAACAUGGGAAGUACCUAAAAUGAAAAGGACCUGAAAUGCAAUUCUAAAGAUUUCGUCUAAAAGAAAUGGCAAGUUGGCAGAUAAUUUUUAAAUUCAAGUGUAAAUAAUCUGAUAAGUAUUUUAGAAAGCUGACUGGAUGGUAUAAAGAGGGUGCAUUAGAGAAGGAAAAUAUGGGUGGCAGGGAGAUCUAUGAGGGUUUUGUGAUGGGUUGAAUGGUGUCCUCCCAGGAGAUAUGUUGAAGCCCUAUUUUUGGUACCUGUGAAUAUGACUUCAUUUGGAAAUAGGAUCUUUGCAGAUGAAAUCUAGUUAAGAUGGGUUCAUUAAGGUGGGCCCUAAUUCAAUAUGACUGUUUUCCUUAUAAAAAAAGGAAAAGACGGAGAAACGGGGAGAAGAAUGCCACAUAACAAUGAAGGUAGAGAAUGGGGUUACACAGCUACAGACCAGAGAACAUGAAGGACUGUCACCAACACCACUGCUAAGAGAAGGGCACAGAACAGGUUCUCCCGCAGAGCCUUUAGAGGAAGCAAGACCCUGUCAACAGCUUUUCUGAGUUCUAGCCUUCAGAACUGUGAGAGAAUAAAUUUCAGCUUAUGGUACUUUUUAUAUGACAGCCCAAGGAAACUAACACAAGUAUUGGUGGAACACUUCUUCAACAAAUAGCACUUGAAUUAAGGCAGUGGCAGUAAAAAUGGAGAGGAGGAGGUAUGUGGUAGACCAGGGAUAUAUUUGCUAAAGGACAAACGAAGUAAUGAGACUUAGAAACAGAACGAUGGAGCCACAAAGAAUGCCUGAAAUGGUAAUAGGAUACAUGCUGGAAUGUUGAUGGGCCCCAUUUCCACAAGCCUCCAAAUCUGCUUCUAGAUCCCAUUCAAGCAAGGGAGGAUUUGUUAAGAAGAAAGGCCCUUUGAGAGCACCAGUCCCUCCACCAGCCAGUCUAGUCCUAAGAGCUCUGAAGGCCAACCUUGGAGGUGGUUCAGGAGGGAAAAUGCAGGACCCAGGAUUUCAGUUGCCAAGCCAGAGAGCAGGGGACCCAGGAAAGAAUAUUGGCAUUCAUUUGAUUUUUCCAUCUUCUGAUAUAACCUUCAAAUGUUAAUAGUGUGUCGAAGAAUUUAUUGGAAAUGAGAAACAAGAAAACAGUGAGUCUAACCUAGUCAUUCUAGAAUUGGGAGGUAAUAGAAAAGAGAGAAAUGGGAAAGUUGCUCAAAUGCAAGUCCAGUGAAUCAGAGAGAAAAGGCUCAAAGCAGCAGAACAAAGCUUCAAUAAAGAGAUAUUGUGACUUGGAGAGAUGGCCUUUUGUCCUUUGUUCUAUUACCAGUCAGAGGAUGGGGAGCACACCCGAGCCUGAGACAACAGCUCUGCUAAGUGCCCUUGAGAGGGCACGGUGGGGUCAGCACCAAAGUCAGACCACUAAAGAGAAAAAGAGAGAAAGACAGGAUUGCAGAGGAGAAAUGAGAAUGGCAGAAAAAAUAAUUUUUUAAGCCAAAAGGAAUCAGAGAAGAGCAGAAGUGCCUCUAGGAUAAAGCGUAGCAGGCAGUUAGGGAAAAAGGGCUGUUAACUACCUUGAAGCUCUGACUACAUUAGAAAGCCUCGCAAGACAGUCGUUGCUUGCACGGGCAGGGGUGGUUGGCAAUAAGGAUGGGUGGGAGAGAAAAAAAAACAGAAUUUGAGGAGGAGAGCAUUUAAACCAUCAGACUGUGUGUUCUGUGACAUCAAAGACUGGCAACAUUCUAAAGGAAAAGCAGCUGUGAAGUCAUAAUUAUGUUCACUUCCCACUGGCAACUGGCAAGCCCUUUAUUUUUGUGCAUUCGGAACUCACCAAGAAUAAAUAAAGUCCAUUCCCUCCUUGAGGGGCUAUUCUGCCAUUCCAUCUAGGAUUUAAAAGUUUGCCAAUUCCUAAAACAUCUAUUGUUAUCAAUAGUCUUGUGUCUUUCACAAAGCGGACUUUACAAAAUAAGUUAACAGGCCAUGAGAGGAACAGUCACACAUACCAAGAAAGGUACAUACGGAGAUAAUUCCAAUCAAAGUGAGCACAGCCUACGCAUAAACAGGAUUUUCCAAGAAAAAAGCAUUAAAGUGCCAUAGAAUAUUAAAGAGCAAUUAAAAGAAUGAAGAUCUCUUCAUAUGCUGGAUAGGCGGAGUGACCCAGCAAUCAUAUGGACACCAUCCAUUCCAGUGACACUCAAACUUCAGCGUGCAUCAGAAUCCCUGCAAGGCUUGCUAAGACACAGACUGCUGCGCCUACCUCAGAGUUCCUGAUUCAUCAAGCUUGAAGUAAGGCCUGAGAUUUUUGCAUUACUAACAAGUCUUCAGGUGAUACCAAUGCUGCUGAUCUGGAGACUGCCUUUGAGAGCCACUAUUCUAUCUCUUUCCCAAUCAACUGUCCUUUCUCACCUCCCUUUUAAAUCUCCAGCACCUGCUCCCUCAUGUUUACUCUCAAUGCACAAUCUUUUUUUCUCCUUCACUGACAGAAGUGAAACAAUUAAAAGAGAAUUUCCCCAGUCUCUCACUACUGCACCUGCUCACCCUCCCACAAGCACGUGUACUCACUGUGCUUUUCUUGCUGUUUUGAAAGGUGAAUUGUCUGUGGUCUUUCUAGAGCCAAUCUCUUCACAUGUGCACCAGAUUCCAAGACCUGCGGCCCACUCAAGGGCAUCCUGCAUGUCUUCUCCCAUCUCUUACCUUGUCAACUCUUUCCACUUUUUGAGUCAUCCUCCUCAGCACAAAAGAUUGUUACUCACUUAUCUUAAAAAGUAAAAGACUAAACCAACAAAAACAAGAAAAAACAGAAAUAAAACCUUUUACUGGACCCUCUCUCCCUACCAGGUAUGACUCCAUUUCUCUUUGCCUUUGCAGAAAAACAUUUAGAAAGGGGGUCUGUAUUAAUUCUAUCCAGUUCCUCUCCUCUCAUUCUCUCACAGACCCACUGAAAUCAGGUCUUAACUCUCAACAAAAUUGCUCUUACUGAGGUCUCAGAUAAACUUCAGGUUGCUAAAUCUCAUGGCCCACAUUUGGUCCUCUCACAUUUUACCCCCCUUGACAGAGAUGGCACCACUCCUUGAUACUUCUAUUUUUUUGGCUUGUAAGGCUUCCUAAUUCACUGGUUGCUAGUCUCAGAACUUUGCGAAUGACUUAUCUUUUCUUAUACCUCUUAGUCCUGGACUGACUUGCCCCAGAUUGUAGCUUCUUUUUUUAUCCACUCUCCUUCCUUUGGGGAUCUCAUCCAGUCUCCCUCUGUAUGCCCUUUGUUGCCAAAUUUACAUCUCCAGCCCUGAAUGCUCCUUUGCCUCAGACUCCAAAACUAUAUUCAAAGUCUCUCAUUUAGAUCAUUCAAACUUUUCAAGAGUGACUCCUGAUCUUCUCCCAAAUAUCUGAGCUGCUCAAAGCUUUCCAUCUCAGUAGAUGAAAAAUUCACCCCUCUAGUGCUUAGGUCAAAAAUCUUUGAGUCACCCUUGUUUCCUCUCUUUAUUACUCCCACUGUACAUCCGAUUCACCAGGAAGUCUUCCUGUGUUUACCCUAAACAUAAUUCAGAGACCAAUUACUCCUCACCACCUCCAUGGCUAUCACUUUCAUCAGACUUGCUAGAUUUUAGCAAUCGUCUUAUAACUGUUUUCCCAUUCCCACCCUUGCCUCCUUCCAUUCUAUUGCCCACAAAGAAGUAUAAGUGAUCCUUUUGAAACAUAAGUCAGAUCAUGGCAUUUCUUUCCCAAAAAGAAAUGCAAGUGUCUAAAUUCUUCGCCUACCUCAGAGUAAAAGUCCAAGUUCUUAUAUGGCCUUUAAAGACCUCUGUGUACUCUCCUCCUCCCUCCGUUAGCUCUCUGAUCUUCCCUUCUUCUUUUCUUCCUCAUCCUACUCUGCUCCAGCCACGCAGUCUUUCUGGCUAUUUCUUGAACAUAGUAAACAUGAUCCCUCCUCUGAGCUUUGAGUUGUUUCCUUUGCCUGGGAAAUUCCAUCUGGAGACUUCCGGGCUUGCUCACCUAUAUAGGCAAGUCUGUACAUGAGACCUGCUCUGACCACUCAAUUUAAAAUGGCAGCAAAAUCCUUCCUGGCACCCCACCUUUAAAAUGGCAACAAAAGCCUUCCUGGCACCUUUCCUUUCUAGCUUUGGACCUAUUACAUAAUCUAUGUAUCUUUUGUGUUAUCAUCUGCCUUCCCCGCUAGUAUGUAAACUCCACAAAGGUUGAGAUUUUUGUUUGGUUCACUGAUGUAUCCCAAGAACAUAAUUCAGUAUCUAACUUGCAGUGGAAACUCACCAAGUAUUUAUCAAAUUAUUUGAUAAAUGAAUGUGAUGAUAAAUGAAUGUGACUGUAAAAUGAUACUUUAUAGUCACUGGAGAAAUCAGUCUCUGACAUCCCCAGGAACAAAAUCAACAUUCUUUGGAAUAGUCAUUGAUAAAGGGUUCAUAACUUUUUGUGCCAUGGACUUCUUUGGCAGUCUGUCGAAGCCUAUGAACCCCUUCACAGAUUAGUAUUUUUAAAUGUACAAAAUAAAAUCGAUAAACUACAAAUGUAGUAAAUUAUUUUAUCAGAACAUUUUUAAAAUUAUAAAACAAAUUUGUAGCUAAUAGUAAUACACAUACUUUGUUAUCCAUUAAUUGACAACAUCUGGUAGUGGUUCUAAUAACGACCAUAAUUUUGAAGUACUGAUGUCUAUGAAUGAUAUUUCAAGAUGUCUGUAAUAACUCUAAUGUGAUACGAAUGUAUCUGUAAUUUCCAUUGUGAACAAAGUCACUGGUACUGCUAAUAGCACCAUGGUUUCUUGCCUAUAUUCAUAAAUGAAGGAAAUGUUAAAUUUUAGCUAGUUAAAAAAAAAAAAUGAAAAUGAGGUUGUAUUUUCUACAGAUACUUAAAUGAAUGCUUUGGAAACACUUGUAAGGAGUAGAAAUAAAAGCAGAAAGACUUUCCCCUUUCUUACUCCCCCAAAAGGUGCUACUGAAUUGUUGCAGAUAAGGAAAUUGUAAGAUAAUUGAAAAAAAUGAUAAAAAUCUGGAAGAAUUCUGUACCAAGACUGUUUUUGCUUUUGCAAGUGUCUAAAUUCUUGUUCUACUUUAAUAGAAUCAAAUCUGGAAAUUAUCAGAGUGAUGAUGUACGUGGUUCAUAUAAAGCAGACAAUGUGGAACUCCAAGUAUCUGAACAAUCAGAUCAAAAUACCCAGACUACAUAUCAAGAAAGCAGGCUGAGUGUGAUGGUUCAUGCCUGUUAUCCCAGCACUUUGGGAGGCUGAGGCAGGAGGAUUGCUUAG